rnacentral:rRNA from 1 species
AGAGUUUGAUCCUGGCUCAGGACGAACGCUGGCGGCACGCUUAACACAUGCAAGUCGAACGAGAGAAGAGGAGCUUGCUUUUCUGAUCUAGUGGCGGACGGGUGAGUAACACGUGAGCAAUCUGCCUUUCAGAGGGGGAUACCGAUUGGAAACGAUCGUUAAUACCGCAUAACAUAAUUGAACCGCAUGAUUUGAUUAUCAAAGAUUUAUCGCUGAAAGAUGAGCUCGCGUCUGAUUAGCUAGUUGGUAAGGUAACGGCUUACCAAGGCGACGAUCAGUAGCCGGACUGAGAGGUUGAUCGGCCACAUUGGGACUGAGACACGGCCCAGACUCCUACGGGAGGCAGCAGUGGGGAAUAUUGCACAAUGGAGGAAACUCUGAUGCAGCGAUGCCGCGUGAGGGAAGAAGGUUUUAGGAUUGUAAACCUCUGUCUUCAGGGACGAAAAAAGACGGUACCUGAGGAGGAAGCUCCGGCUAACUACGUGCCAGCAGCCGCGGUAAUACGUAGGGAGCGAGCGUUGUCCGGAAUUACUGGGUGUAAAGGGAGCGUAGGCGGGAUCGCAAGUCAGAUGUGAAAACUAUGGGCUUAACCCAUAAACUGCAUUUGAAACUGUGGUUCUUGAGUGAAGUAGAGGUAAGCGGAAUUCCUAGUGUAGCGGUGAAAUGCGUAGAUAUUAGGAGGAACAUCAGUGGCGAAGGCGGCUUACUGGGCUUUAACUGACGCUGAGGCUCGAAAGCGUGGGGAGCAAACAGGAUUAGAUACCCUGGUAGUCCACGCCGUAAACGAUGAUUACUAGGUGUGGGGGGACUGACCCCUUCCGUGCCGCAGCAAACGCAAUAAGUAAUCCACCUGGGGAGUACGACCGCAAGGUUGAAACUCAAAGGAAUUGACGGGGGCCCGCACAAGCAGUGGAGUAUGUGGAUUAAUUCGAAGCAACGCGAAGAACCUUACCAGGUCUUGACAUCGUAUGCAUAGCUCAGAGAUGAGUGAAAUCUCUUCGGAGACAUAUAGACAGGUGGUGCAUGGUUGUCGUCAGCUCGUGUCGUGAGAUGUUGGGUUAAGUCCCGCAACGAGCGCAACCCUUACUGUUAGUUGCUACGCAAGAGCACUCUAGCAGGACUGCCGUUGACAAAACGGAGGAAGGUGGGGAUGACGUCAAAUCAUCAUGCCCCUUAUGACCUGGGCCUCACACGUACUACAAUGGCUGUCAACAGAGGGAAGCAAAGCCGCGAGGUGGAGCGAACCCCUAAAAGCAGUCUUAGUUCGGAUUGUAGGCUGCAACCCGCCUACAUGAAGUCGGAAUUGCUAGUAAUCGCAGAUCAGCAUGCUGCGGUGAAUACGUUCCCGGGCCUUGUACG